CGGCGGACGGGUGAGUAAUGCCUAGGAAUCUGCCUGGUAGUGGGGGGUAACGUUCCGAAAGGAACGCUAAUACCGCAUACGUCCUACGGGAGAAAGCAGGGGACCUUCGGGCCUUGCGCUAUCAGAUGAGCCUAGGUCGGAUUAGCUAGUUGGUGAGGUAAUGGCUCACCAAGGCGACGAUCCGUAACUGGUCUGAGAGGAUGAUCAGUCACACUGGAACUGAGACACGGUCCAGACUCCUACGGGAGGCAGCAGUGGGGAAUAUUGGACAAUGGGCGAAAGCCUGAUCCAGCCAUGCCGCGUGUGUGAAGAAGGUCUUCGGAUUGUAAAGCACUUUAAGUUGGGAGGAAGGGCAUUAACCUAAUACGUUAGUGUUUUGACGUUACCGACAGAAUAAGCACCGGCUAACUUCGUGCCAGCAGCCGCGGUAAUACGAAGGGUGCAAGCGUUAAUCGGAAUUACUGGGCGUAAAGCGCGCGUAGGUGG
rnacentral:rRNA from 1 species